UGUUGGUGGGGUAACGGCUCACCAAGGCGACGAUCCCUAGCUGGUCUGAGAGGAUGACCGGCCACACUGGAACUGAGACACGGCCCAAACUCCUACGGGAGGCAGCAGUGGGGAAUCUUGCACAAUGGAGGAAACUCUGAUGCAGCGAUGCCGCGUGAGUGAAGAAGGCCCUUGGGUUGUAAAGCUCUUUCGUCGGGGAAGAAAAUGACUGUACCCGAAUAAGAAGGUCCGGCUAACUUCGUACCAGCAGCCGCGGUAAUACGAAGGGACCUAGCGUAGUUCGGAAUUACUGGGCUUAAAGAGUUCGUAGGUGGUUGAAAAAGUUGGUGGUGAAAUCCCAGAGCUUAACUCUGGAACUGCCAUCAAAACUUUUCAGCUAGAGUUUGGUAGAGGAAAGCAGAAUUUCUAGUAUAGAGGUGAAAUUCGUAGAUAUUAGAAAGAAUACCAAUCGCGAAGGCAGCUUUCUGGAUCAUUACUGACACUGAGGAACGAAAGCAUGGGUAGCGAAGAGGAUUAGAUACCCUCGUAGUCCAUGCCGUAAACGAUGUGUGUUAGACGUUGGAAAUUUAUUUUCAGUGUCGCAGCGAAAGCGAUAAACACACCGCCUGGGGAGUACGACCGCAAGGUUAAAACUCAAAUGAAUUGACGGGGACCCGCACAAGUAGUGGAGCAUGUGGUUUAAUUCGAAGAUACGCGCAGAACCUUACCAACACUUGACAUGUUCGUCGCGACUUUAAGAGAUUAGAGUUUUCGGUUCGGCCGGACGAAACACAGGUGCUGCAUGGCUGUCGUCAGCUCGUGCCGUGAGAUGUUGGGUUAAGUCCCGCAACGAGCGCAACCCUCACUUUUAGUUGCCAUCAUUAAGUUGGGCACUCUGAAAGAACUGCCAGUGAUAAGCUGGAGGAAGGUGGGGAUGACGUCAA
rnacentral:rRNA from 1 species